rnacentral:rRNA from 1 species
GACGAACGCUGGCGGCGUGCUUAACACAUGCAAGUCGAACGAAGUGGCGCACGGGUGAGUAACGCGUAAUCAACCUGCCCUUCAGGGGGGGACAACAGUUGGAAACGACUGCUAAUACCGCAUACUGAAGGAGGGGAUUGCGUCUGAUUAGCUAGUUGGAGGGGUAACGGCCCCACAAGGCGAUGAUCAGUAGCCGGUCUGAGGGGAGGAACGGCCAAAUCGGGACCUAGACACGGCCCAGACCUCUACGGGAGGCAGCAGUGGGGAAUCUUCCGCAAUGGACGAAAGGCUGACGGAGCAAAGCCGCGGGAGGGAUGACGGGCGUCGGGUUGUAAAGCUCUGUUAAGCGGGACGCGGUACCGGAAGAGAAAGCCACGGCUAACUACGUGCCAGCAGCCGCGGUAAUAC